rnacentral:lncRNA from 12 species
CCCCCCCCCCCCCCCCCCCCCCCCCCCCCCCCCCCCCCCCCCCCCCCCCCCCCCCCCCCAAUCCAUCCCAGAACCCCAAAAUCCAUCUGGGAACCCCAAAAUCCAUCCCAGAACCCCAAAAUCCAUCUGGGAACCCCAAAACUGGGUCAGGGGACCCCAAAAUCCAACCCAGAACGCAAAAAUCCAACAUCCCAGUGCUCCCAGUGCCAUUCCCAGUGCCAUUCCCAGCACUCCCAGUGCUCCCAGUGCCCCCAGUAUUCCCGUUACCAGCAGGAAGGGGCGGCUCUGGGCGCGGCCCAGCCCCACCAGCAGCAGCUCCCGCACGUGGGGCAGUUCCCAGUGCCAUUCCCAGCGCUCCCAGUGCUCCCAGUGUCCCCAGUAGUCCCAGUACCAGCAGGAAGGGGCGGCUCUGGGCGCGGCCCAGCCCCACCAGCAGCAGCUCCCGCACGUGGGGCAGUUCCCGCUCGCCCCUCUCCUCCUUGCGCGGCUCCGCCGCCGGCUGCCCGAAGGACGAGUCCACCAGCACCCGCUGCCCCACCGGGAAAUUCUUCACCAGGAACACCAGGCGCCACUCGGGCACCUGGUAAAUCUGGGGGAGGAAAUUGGGAACAGCAAUUAAUGACCGGGCUAAUAAUGGGGGUUAAUGGGUAAUACGGAUAAUGGGAAUUUAUGGGCACUGCUCAGGGACCUGGUAAAUCUGGGGGGGAUUAUUAAUAGGAGUUAUUAAUGGGGUUAAUAAUGGGGAUUGAUAAUGGGAAUUGAUAAUAGGAAUUAAUAACGGGGAUAAUGGGAAUUAUGGGCGCCACUCGGGCACCUGGUAAAUCUGGGGGAGGAAAUUAAUAACAGGAAUUAAUGAUCGGGGCAAAUAAUGGGGAUUGAUAACGGGAAUGGAAAAUGGGAAUGGAUAAUGGGGAUUGAUAAUGGGGAUUGAUAAUGGGGAUUGAUAAUGGGGAUUGAUAAUGGGGAUUGAUAAUGGGGAUUGAUAAUGGGGAUUGAUAAUGGGGAUUGAUAAUGGGGAUUGAUAAUGGGGAUUGAUAAUGGGGAUUGAUAAUGGGGAUUGAUAAUGGGGAUUGAUAAUGGGGAUUGAUAAUGGGGAUUGAUAAUGGGGAUUGAUAAUGGGGAUUGAUAAUGGGGAUUGAUAAUGGGGAUUGAUAAUGGGGAUUGAUAAUGGGGAUUGAUAAUGGAGAUAAUGGGAAUUAUGGGCACCAGACGGGGACAUGGUAAAUCUGGGGGGUUAAUUAGAAUUAAUAAUGGGGAUUGGUAAUGGGGACUGAUAACAGGGAUUAAUAACGGGGAUUGAUAAUGGGGAUGGAUAAUGGGGAUGGAUAAUGGGGAUUGAUAAUGGGGAUAACGGGAAUUACGGGCACCACUCGGGCCCCUGAUAAAUCUGGGGGAUUAAUUAGAAUUAAUAAUGGGGGUUGUUAAUGGGGACUGAUAAUGGGAAUGGAUGAUGGGGAUUGAUAAUGGGAAUGGAUAACAGGGAUAAUGGGAAUUAUGGGCGCCACUCGGGCACCUGGUAAAUCUGGGGGAUUAAUUAGAAUUAACAACGGAGAUUGAUAAUAGGGAUUGAUAAUGGGAAUGGAUAACAGGGAUUGAUAAUUAGGAUCAUGGGAAUUAUGGGCACCAAACGGGGACAUGGUAAAUCUGGGGGAGGGAAUAAUGGGGUUAAUAAUGGGAUUAAUAAUGGGGAUGAAUAAUGGGGAUUGAUAAUGGGAAUAACAAAAAUUAAUAAUGGGGAUUAAUAAUGGGAAUGGAUAAUGGGAAUUGGUAACGGGAAUGAAUGAGGGGAAUUAGGGGUGGCACUCGGGGACCUGGUAAAUCUGGGGGUGAUUGAUAAUGGGGUUAAUAACGGGAAUGGUUAAAGGAAAUUAAUAAUUGGGAUUAAUAACGGGGAUAAUGCGUAUGGGAAUUUAUAAUGCGGAUUAAUAAUGGGGAUUGAUAAUGGGGAUUAAUAAUGGGAAUGGGUAAUACGGAUAAUGGGAAUUUAUGGGCACUGCUCAGGGACCUGGUAAAUCUGGGGGGGAUUAUUAAUAGGAGUUAUUAAUGGGGUUAAUAAUGGGGAUUAAUAAUGGGAAUUGAUAAUAGGAAUUAAUAACGGGGAUAAUGGGAAUUAUGGGCGCCACUCGGGCACCUGGUAAAUCUGGGGGGGAUUAAUAAUGGGAGAUAAUAACGGGAAUUAAUAAUGGAAAUUGAUAAUGGGAAUUAAUAAUGGGAAUUGAUAAUUGAUAAGAGUACUCCCAGCCCCAUCCCCAGUGCUCCCAGUGCUCCCAGUACCUCCAUGUUGCCGUUCUCCCGGGCCAGCACGCACCAGUGCUCCCAGUGCCAUUCCCAGUGCUCCCAGUCCCAUCCCAGCCCCAUUCCCAGUGCUCCCAGUGCCCCCAGUACCUCCAUGUUGCCGUUCUCCCGGGCCAGCACGCACCAGUGCUCCCAGUGCCAUUCCCAGUGCUCCCAGUCCCCCCCCCCCCCCCCCCCCCCCCCCCCCCCCCCCCCCCCCCCCCCCCCCCCCCCCCCCCCCCCCCCCCCCCCCCCCCCCCCCCC